ensembl:snoRNA
UUCCAAACUAUUGAGUUGAGGCCAGGGUGGAUCUGGAACAUUUAAACGGGCUAGGGAAAAUGCCUAGAUAGAAAGCAUUACUUUUUAUUGAUCCCCAGGCUACAAAA